rnacentral:rRNA from 1 species
UAAAAUAAUUAAUUUCUUAUAAGAAAUUAAUUAUUUUUAGUUGGGGCAACUAGAAAAUAUUAUAAACUUUUUAUAUAAUAAAAUGACCCAUUAUUAAUGAUUAUUUGAGAAAAAUACUCUAGGGAUAACAGCGUAAUAAUUUUUGAUAGAACCUAUAGACAAAAUAGUUUGCGACCUCGAUGUUGGAUUAGGAUACUUUUUUAAUGAAGAUGUUAAAAAAAGGAGUUUGUUCAACUUUUAAAGUCCUACUUGAUCUGAGUUCAGACCGGA